GGCUGUAACGACGCGAUUUGGAGGAAGAACCACCACGGUUCGCAGCUGUAGUUUGCUCGUUACUGACGAUCGUUUUGUGUGUAUGUGUGUUUUUGGGGUUUAGUUUGAGUUGAACGAUGGUGCAAGCGAGUGUGAUGUGUUAGUAAACAAGCGUUGCGGUGGUUUACAGCACAAGUUAGCGAAUGUGUGUUUUUCAUGUGUGUUUGGCAGAAAGGGCGUCCCGAAGCAAGUAAAGCAAAGCAAAUGCGGAUUCAGCACAUUGCGGUGACGUAGCAGGAUGAAAGAAUGGUUAAUGGAUAUUGCAAGAUGAACACAGAACACACAUUGUGGUUUGAUUGCAGAUCGAGGAUCACGUCAUCUACCAAUUUCUGGAUCUAUUGCAAUCGAGAGAAUCACUCAUCGCUAAACAGAUGGCAUUGGCAGGUUUAAAUAAAAAUAAAUUAAAAUAUAAGAACUGUAUGGCAAAAGGUGAUUCUGAGAUCGAACAUUAUCGGUCUGGAUUUUCCUACAUGUCUCUAGCUAAAAAAAAAAAAA